AGCGUUAUUGUGCUCGGCGGCAGCGGUUCUCAGAGAUUGUGGAGAAGCGGCCGGCGUGGUGCCGCUCUAGGAAAGCUAUUGAAAAUACAAAAAUGAAGCGUCUGGCUGAAGGACUGAUUACACUGAGUUCAGCUCUUGUGAAUCUUAUCUGCAGAUUUGUACAGACUGCAUCCUAAGAUUGACUUCUGCCUCAACAGAAAUGCAUGAACAGUGUCUUAAUGGAAAUGAUUUGCGUCUUUUAAGAACUGGUGUAUCUAGGUACAUCUUGAAUUUUCAGCUGUUUAUCUUAUUGACGCUUGUACCUCACCUCAACCUUCAAUUCUACUGUAUUUCCUUGCUACUUAAUAUCUUGAAUUCUGGUAUGAAAAUAUUGCA